CUCAUCACUGUUACUCUCUUCCCUGCCCAUCAAUUUCCACUGCCCCUUUUUUCUUCGCGCUCGGUGUGGCGUCUACGCCGUCUCAUGGCCGUUCCAACCACCUCCUCUACCUCCACCACCAUCAGCGAUCUCCCUGAUGUCAUUUUAUCGAACAUUUUUGCUUCCAUAUCCGACACUCGAACACGAAACUCUCUUUCUCUAGUGAACCGCAAGUUCUUAACUCUUGAGAGAGCCACGCGCACCUCCCUUACGCUCCGAGGCAACGCGCGCGACUUUUAUAUGAUUCCGACUUGUUUCAGAUCUGUCACUCACCUAGACCUUUCUCUACUCUCUCCAUGGGGUCACUAGACUUUGCUCGCUUCCUCGCCGCUUUCCGAUCCUUUCCUCCUGGCGCACCGCCUCGGCGUUGC
rnacentral:misc_RNA from 1 species